GCUUAUUUUAUCCAGGAGUUCUAGGUAAGACCACUUUUUCAAAUAUCCUCUGAACGUUGACUUAGGUGCACACACCUGUGCUUCCAUUGGCAACAAAAGCUUUGAAUGCACAGGACUUCCACGGCAUGAAAUGCAUUUACAUACAUUACAUAAGAGAGAAGCAAUGAGCAAGUCUGUUGCUGGGAGAGGCUCACAUCCUUCUCACCAAAUCAAUCUGUAACUUUCAAAUAGCUCUGCUGUAUUUCCUAGCAACAGGAGUAAACACUGUACUACAUCCAGUGCCCAAGAUUUGUAACCACGUUAAUCUGUUAGAAGCCUAGAUGUGUGACUGGAGAUGCCUCCUGUCCAUUCAAUCUGACUCCAAUGUGGUUCUGCAGCACUGGACAAAGAUGGGAGAUUGAAACAGGAGCCCCUGCGAUGGGGGAACAGAGCCAGGGAGCAGGGGUUGGACAGAACCCAGGUUUGAGAAAACAACCUUGUGAACCUUCUAUUGGAGCAGCAAUAAAGAUCUGAGCUAAGUGUCGAGGGAGGCUGAGGAGGUGGUCACUAAGUCUGUCUUAGGCAUCCCAGGGUCUCCUCAGAGUCCAAGCCUGAAGUCCACUGCAGGGGUCACCAGCCACCUGUGGCCACAUUGGAAUGUGGCCAUUCUGAAUUGAGGUAAGUAAAAAACAUACACCAAAUUUCAAAGAUGUAAUAUGGGAAAAAAAGAAUGUAAGGUGAAGGAGGAGAGUGAGGUGAGACCUUCCCAGCCCUUGACUGCUCUUGCACUGGACACAUUCCAGGAAGCUCUUGUGGCAGAAGCAGCCACUUAACUUACUUUUAACAAGAGAAGCUGAAGGCUGAGGGAAGUCAGGACCAACAGAGGAUCCAAAUUUCAGUGGCACAAGUCUUAAGCUUCAUUUGGUUGCAUGAAUGAGUGCGGAAGCAGCAUGAAGUAGUGGUGAUACAAACCUGGGUUCUGUGUUUAAUUCUAUUCUCAGUACUUUCCCAGUGGGAGACUGUGAGUUCCCUCUCUGAACCUCGUUCUCCUCCAUGGCUUAAAACUGGACUCAUAAUGCAUGGCUUAGCUAUAAUGUACCUUUCAAAAAGGGCUGGCAUCCGGUAAACACUGAAUAAAUGGUUACAUGUCAAACACAGUAAACAUUCAACAAUGGCUAAUAUCUUCCUUCUGCAUCAGCUUUUAAAACAGAUUUUUUAACCUGGAGUCCAAGGAGUCCCAGGAAAUCCACAGACGAGAUUCAAUGGAUCCUUGAAAUCCCUAAAAUUAAAUACAAAGCGGGGUAUGUGUGGACAUCUUUUCUCUUCAAGGAAAGAAUCCAUAGCUUUCAUAUGAUGCUCUUAAGACUCUCAGACUGAAAACAGUUUAAGAACUAUUGAGUUUCUGUGGCUUCCAAAGUGUUUAGCUCCUUCUAUUUAUCUAUGGAAUAGCUCUGUGAAUGACUCUCAAAACCAAGCUUUUCUGUGCCUCCUCAAGAGGCCUGCAUUUUAUAUGCAGCAGUACAACUUCCUUCCAUAAGACGCUUUUAUUUUCUGGCAGCAGCAGUAUCACAGGAAGAUGACUGGAAUUUAUAAGAUUGAUGACCAAAGAAGGCAGCUAUAAUGUUUUAUUCUCAAGAUGAUGGUUACUCAUCUUAGAAUAAAAACAACAACAACAAAAAAUAACAGAUGAAUGGGAAGAGCCCAAUCAAAGCUUUAUUCUACUCCUCAACAACUCAGGAGUUAAGCCUAAAGCUGCAGAUGAAAAUUUUGCCACCAUGAAGAAAAGAAGAAAUCAGAAUUGGAUUCUUUCUGAACUUUUCCUUUACAGUAGCCAGUAUAUGCCCUUUCCUACUUGAGCAAGUAUAAACUGGGUUUCUGUGAUUUGCAACCAAGUGUCCUGACAAACACAAGGAUGAAAGACAACUGUGUCUCAAUAAAGGAAAAAUAGUUUAUUUUUAUGAGUGGUGGAUUUAAAAAACCUACAUUACUGUGACAAGAGUACCUUAAAACAUUUAAGUCUACAAAAGGCACUUAGGGACUUUAUAGCAAACUCUACACUUAUAAUGAAAAGCCAGACCAGAUCAUUUUAAAAAAACGUUACUGCACGAGAUAAUGGCACAUCCACUCGUUCAAUUAACAUUUAUUGAGUGUCUUCAGGGGUUUUAGACUUGUGCAAUAAAAAUGAUAAAAACGUAUUCUUUGGUUUGAGCUGGUCCAUCCAAGGUCGUUCCAUAAAGAGCAGCUGUGUAUGCUGUUCAGACUAAUUGUGUGAAGCUGGAGAGGCCAGGUGUUUCUGUCUGGCCCAGCAGCUGCACUUUGCGGUAAGGGCACCACCUGAAUUUCAGUCUGGCCAUAAAAUGAGGCUGAAGAAACAGCACCUUGCAUGAGCUUUUAGGUGAAAGGCAGAACAG
rnacentral:lncRNA from 10 species